rnacentral:rRNA from 1 species
UACGUAGGUGGCGAGCGUUGUCCGGAUUUACUGGGCGUAAAGGAAGCGUAGGCGGGCUUUUAAGUGAGAUGUGAAAUACUCGGGCUCAACUUGAGUGCUGCAUUUCAAACUGGAAGUCUAGAGUGCAGGAGAGGAGAAUGGAAUUCCUAGUGUAGCGGUGAAAUGCGUAGAGAUUAGGAAGAACACCAGUGGCGAAGGCGAUUCUCUGGACUGUAACUGACGCUGAGGCUCGAAAGCGUGGGGAGCAAACAGG